GGGCGUUUGGCACAGUGGUAGCGCGCACGCUUCGCAUUCUCUUGCCUGGCUGGCAUGCUUGCGUGAGGUCCAGGGUUCAAUCCCCUGAAUGUCCA